CAGCAGGAGGAUAUGUCAAUGUCUACGACUGAACCAGUACUGGAAGAAUGUAUGUAUAUAUUAUACAUAACGAUUAUUCGUAUAAAAUUCUAAAUAGGAUAAUGAUAAUGACAAUUCCUAUUUAUAAGUCUGACCAAAUUACGUGCCAGCAGUCGCGGUAAUACGUAGAAGACUAGUGUUAGUCAUCUUUAUUAGGUUUAAAGGGUACCUAGACGGUAAAUAACACUUAAAUAGAGUAUUUAUUUACUAGAGUUUUAUAAGAGAAGGAAGAACUUCUGGAGUAGUGAUAAAAUAUGUUGAUACCAGAGGGACUGGUAACGGCGAAGGCAUCCUUCUAUGUAAAAACUGACGUUGAGGGACGAAGGCUUGGGUAGCAAUAAGGAUUAGAUACCCUAGUAGUCCAAGCAGAAAAUGAUGAAUGUCAUAGACUAGAUAAAAAUUUAGUCUAUAAAUGAAAGUGUAAGCAUUCCACCUCAAGAGUACUAUGGCAACAUAUAAACUGAAAUCAUUAGACCGUUUCUGAAACCAGUAGUGAAGUAUGUUAUUUAAUUCGAUAAUCCGCGAAUAACCUUACCACAAUUUGAAUAUAUUAAGUUAUUACAAGCGCUGCACGGCUGUCUUUAGUUAAUGUCGUGAGAUCUGGUUAACUCCUAAAAUUAACGAAAACCCUCAUUUUAUUUGUAUAUAUAAAGUGGUUCUCCAGUAUAGUGGAAAGAUAAAAGGGAUUAAGACAAGUCAUCAUGGCCUAAAUAUUGUGGGCUAUAGACGUGCCACAUAUGCCUCUACAAAGGGAUGCUAUAUUGCGAAAUGGAGCUAAUCCCCAAAAUUGGAUAUAAUAUGGAUUGUUGUCUGUAAUUCGACAGCAUGAAUAAGGAAUUACUAGUAAUCGUGAAUCACCAUCGUCACGGUGAAUCUAAUCUCAGCUAGGUACUAACCACUCGUCAGGCGCUGAAAGGAGUAUGUGCAAUAAGUUUGGUUUGUUUAUAUAUUAAUAUACAUGAUUCUUGA
rfam:Penicillium marneffei ATCC 18224 scf_1107713384327 genomic scaffold, whole genome shotgun sequence.